rnacentral:rRNA from 1 species
UUGACAAUGGGCGAAAGCCUGAUGCAGCAACGCCGCGUGAGCGAUGAAGGCCUUCGGGUCGUAAAGCUCUGUCCUCAAGGAAGAUAAUGACGGUACUUGAGGAGGAAGCCCCGGCUAACUACGUGCCAGCAGCCGCGGUAAUACGUAGGGGGCUAGCGUUAUCCGGAAUUACUGGGCGUAAAGGGUGCGUAGGUGGUUUCUUAAGUCAAAGGUGAAAGGCUACGGCUCAACCGUAGUAGGCCUUUGAAACUGGGAAACUUGAGUGCAGGAGAGGAGAGUGGAAUUCCUAGUGUAGCGGUGAAAUGCGUAGAUAUUAGGAGGAACACCAGUUGCGAAGGCGGCUCUCUGGACUGUAACUGACACUGAGGCACGAAAGCGUGGGGAGCAAACAGGAUUAGAUACCCUGGUA